UACGAAGGGGGGCUAGCGUUGCUCGGAAUCACUGGGCGUAAAGGGUGCGUAGGCGGGUCUUUUAAGUCAGGGGUGAAAUCCUGGAGCUCAACUCCAGAACUGCCUUUGAUACUGAAGAUCUUGAGUUCGGGAGAGGUGAGUGGAACUGCGAGUGUAGAGGUGAAAUUCGUAGAUAUUCGCAAGAACACCAGUGGCGAAGGCGGCUCACUGGCCCGAUACUGACGCUGGAGGCACGAAAGCGUGGGGAGCAAACAGGG
rnacentral:rRNA from 1 species